GCCGAAGUAGCUCAGCUGGUAGAGCAGCUGAUUUGUAAUCAGCAGGUCGGGGGUUCGAUUCCCUUCUUCGGCUC
rnacentral:tRNA from 1 species